AUGAGACAGGGUAACAUGGAAUACAAAGUGAAUCCAGUAACAAAGGUAGAGUACAAUCCUGAGUACGGAGCAAGCUGUUCUACACUGAGUGAGGCUACUCAAGCAUGGGCAGAUCUAUUCAUUAAGCCUCGAACAAAUCUAAUCAGAGUUCGAGUGGCUCAUGGUGACUACGAAGUUAUGAUGGCUGAAAAAUUAGGACUAGUUGACUGUGUAACAGAGUUGAAAAGGAUUCAUAACACCACUCCACAGCUCUGCCUCAACAACUUGUACUCUGUUCUUGUAAAACUCGCAGACCUUGAAGUGGGGAAUUACAUGCUUUGUCACGAGCCUCAAGAUGGAGCGUUUGCUGUCCUGCAUAAAACUUUGAAUGAGAGGUUUGGGUCGCACAGUUUACAACGCUCUUACCAAAAGAAUCUGAUGGCUUCAAAAGAAAGCUGCCCGUUUAUUCCAAUAGAUUUAUUCACUUUAACUCCAGCCAAUCGUUUUCUCAGAUGUGUGCCAGCAACUUUUACUCCGAAGUUUGUUUCCAAGAGAAAUUUCAACCAAAGGAAAGGACCUCCAUCGCUUCCGGUGAGUAACAUCGGGAGACCAAGACCAAGAAAAAAUAAGGGAAAACAUAAAGGUGCAGCAAAUAAAGGUAAUGCUCAACUGCCAAUAAUUCCUGACAAGAUAUUUCCUCUUAAACAAACGAGCAAGUCCUCUGUUGAAAAGGUACCUUUGGAGAACCUAGUUCUGACUGCAAAAGUAGCAAACAAAGAACAAUUUCCGCAUCCUAAUUUCAAGGAGCCAAGAAUUUCUAAGUUUUCUUCAGAAUGCAACCCUGAAAACUCAUUACCGGUUGAAAUACCACUGACUUGCAUUCCAGAGAAACCAAAAACAACCAAAGAGCCUACAAAAUGCAAUCCUGGAAAGACAUCAAUUAAUGACAACCCUGAAGUUUUCACUGUCAAAAAGCAUUUUAGUCAUGAGUUACCUCCAGUGCUCACCCGUGAGAAGUUACCAGAACCUGCUGAGCGACUCAAAACGAGUUUAAAUGAAUCGUCCAGUAAAGGGCAGCCACCAGUGCUCAGUUUUGAAAUGCCAACACUUCUCUGUGAGAAACCUUUACCCCCUACCCUUCAUCUGGAAUUAGAACCGAAGAAGCCAACAUCAAAUAAGUCUCACCCACUCAAUUUCGACAAACCAGCAACUACCCUGAGUCCCUCAUCUCCAAAAUCUCAUAAGUCACCACUCCCAAAGGAGUUAAAUGAAAAACCCUCGAAUCCUCCUGAACUUUCAUCUGAAAGUACGUUUAUUCCAGAGAAGUCUACGACCAUCAGUUCAGAAGAUACGACUCUUUCAGGCAACCUCCAGCGCCUAGUUUGGUGUUGAAUAGCAGAUUAAGAAGAAAUGCACGAAGAGGAGCUCAGUAUAGAGAUAUAUUAAAAAAUAGGAAAAAUUGAAGCUGAAAAGUAAAAGGCUAACGAAAAGUCUUGAUUCUAGUCAGUCUUCCACUUCGAGUCAAGAACCGCAUUGUUCAGACAAUGAGCCCAGUGCAGAAAAAGAAUCAUCCUCUAGUUAUCAAGAUGAACCAAUGCAGGGAACGCAGCCAACAGAAAAAUUUGCUGGGUUCGUCUUUGGGGAAGUUCAACAACUCGGCGUUUCCUCUAGUGGAGAAAGUCAGCCAAUUAAUCCUUCCGGCUCUCAUGCUCAAGAGGUGUCAUUUUCACAGCCCAGAACAGCAGGAAAUUGGCGUCAAAAAGCACGGAAAAGUCUAAAUUUCCAAUUUUCCAAGACACCCAUGAAAGAAGGGCUUAAAAAUCACUUGUCUUGCAGAGGAUCAUCGGGUAAAAUUCUGAGAAACAGGAGGAGUUAUGAUAAGUAAAUUAGCUCAUUCGUAACUUUGUCCUCAAUAUUGCUCUGAACUUUGUAAUUACGCCAUCAUUAUCUUGACCCCUCAAAUUGCAAAUAAUUGUAUUAUUUGAGGUUGAUCCACCCCCCCCCCCCACCCUUACCAGGAAAACUGACUGUGAUUUUACUCUUAAUUGUUUUUAUAAUUAUAUUGAGGCAACUGGUUUAACUUAGCCACUAGCUUUUUUGUAAGUUCAUAAAAUGUGUACUAUUUCUAAAUACAUUUUUAUACUUAUCAAGUUCAUUUAACUUUUUUUUUAAAAAAAAAAAAAAAAGAAUGAUACACUACGUCAAAUUAAUUCAUUGAUAUCUCCUAGCAAGGAUGAAAUGC
rnacentral:lncRNA from 1 species